GACGAACGCUGGCGGCGUGCUUAACACAUGCAAGUCGAACGAAGUGGCGAACGGGUGAGUAAUACGUGGGUAACCUGCCCUCCUUUUUGGGAUAAGCCUUGGAAACGGGGUCUAAUACCGAAUAAAGGGGGAUGGGCUCGCGGCCUAUCAGUUUGUUGGUGGGGUGAUGGCCUAGCAAGGCGGUGACGGGUAGCCGGCCUGAGAGGGUGACCGGUGACAUUGGGACUGAGAUACGGCCCAGAAGACGACGGGAGUGAGCAGUGGGGGAUAUUGCACAAUGGGCGAAAGCAUGAUGCAGGGACGCCGCGUGGGGGAGGAAGGCUUUCGGGUUGUAAACCUCUUUAGCUAGCGAACGGGUAGUUGGAGAAGAAGCGCCGGCUAACUACGGGCCAGCAGCCGCGGUAAAUUC
rnacentral:rRNA from 1 species